UACGGAAGGCAGCAGUGGGGAAUAUUGCACAAUGGGCGCAAGCCUGAUGCAGCCAUGCCGCGUGUAUGAAAAAGGCCUUCGGGUUGUAAAGUACUUUCAGUCGUGAGGAAGGUGUUAAGGUUAAUAACCUUAGCAAUUGACGUUAGCGACAGAAGAAGCACCGGCUAACUCCGUGCCAGCAGCCGCGGUAAUACGGAGGGUGCGAGCGUUAAUCGGAAUUACUGGGCGUAAAGGGCACGCAGGCGGUUAAUUAAGUUGGAUGUGAAAUCCCCGGGCUUAAACCUGGGAAUGGCAUUCAAGACUGGUUAGCUAGAGUCUUGUAGAGGGGGUAGAAUUCCAUGUGUAGCGGUGAAAUGCGUAGAGAUGUGGAGGAAUACCGGUGGCGAAGGCGGCCCCUGGACAAAGACUGACGCUCAUGUGCGAAAGCGUGGGGAGCAAAACAGGGAUUAGAUACC
rnacentral:rRNA from 1 species